CCGCCGCUGAAUGACAUCUGCUUAUAUCGAUUACAUUUUUAAAGCAGAAGCUAGGAGGCUCAUCGCGGCGAAUACAGCACUUCCCACGAUCUUGGCAUCCAAUGAUACGCAGGAGAGUAUGGACGGUUACAAUCUACAGAUUGCUUUGUUUCCAAACAGCUAUUUUUGUCAACCUACGAAUUUGUAGACUUUAGAGUCGUGCUGUCCAUGAAGGAUAAGUUAUAAACACAAUUUCUAACUUAUGAAAACUGGUCAAUUUGUCAAAGUGACAUCCGUGGUGCGAUGUGGGGACCGCCCAAGUAUCAGACCCGCCCACUUGUACACCGAGCAGACCUACUGGCGACCAGAAACAUUCUGGGCGUCUAGACUUGUUAUACGCCCUGCCAUUUGUCAAUUUUGGGGGAUUACCUCCACGGUGGACCAAUCGUGUGAUGGUUUUCUUAACAUGUAACUGUAUCACAGGGAUAGGAUUCGGGGACCACCUACCCCAGAGAGGCGAUAAUUCAUUUGCAGUUAUGUUGGUAGGCAGUUUUUAAUUACCUCCCAACUUGCUCACGCCAGACAACCAUGCGUGUCCAACAAUGUGAUUGGAUUCCUUGAGUAAUAAACUAAUAGCCUGGGUACCAUUUUCCAAAUGAACUACGGAUGAUAUGGUACUGAGGCCAAUAAACAAAGGGUCAUAGCAAUUCGACAUUAAAGGCAUUGAAAAUGAUCAAGCCGACCCCCAAAACUUCAUUGCCCUGUUCUCUUUUAUCGACAGGCAAUCGCCGUCUCUCUUACUACGUCUCCCUUGCUUCUUCGUCCUUCCCCAUGCGAACAUGGCGGUCGUGUACAUGGCGGUGCGCAGUUCGUGUAAUACACCAUUCACUAAAGACUAAUCCUGGGAUUACGCAAUUUCAUCAUUCACCCUAUCGACACAGGGUACUUCCAUCAUCCAGGCCUUUCCCAUAUACACCAGUAAUACAACACUGCCUUUAUGUGAUAUUACCAAGAUUACUCUCACAGCCUUUGCUGCGACCGUAACAUUUCGCGAAAAUUGAAAACAGCUUGUGGUUUAAAGCGACAUAUCUGGAAUGCCAAGUCUUUGUUUCCAGUGAUGUAAGUUGAAAACUGAAGCGAUGUUUUUGAGCAGGUCUUUUCCACUGGGGUCGAACAACCGACACCUUACACCGCUCUACAUUCACCCAGUGUUUCUGACCAGUCCGCACUGUUAUUAACUUUCAUUCUUUGCAUCUCUCCUCUUGGCAUUUCUUUGUGUAUAUUGCAUUCUAUCCUGUUUUCUAAGGUUACAGGGAGGAAUUCUCAGUGUAAAGCCAAUUGACUGACACUUGACCCCAGACAAAGCAAGGCGAGGUCUAAGUACGCCUGAGGAUCAGUCUUCAAACCCGCCAUUCAUACAUGCAGACCAACCGCCGUACGCCUUUAGGCUUUACCCUGGGUUUUACCAGACCAAGGACAGCCUUUUUCUAACGUCCUUGACCAGACUAACUACGCUGGGUAUGAUAGGGAGAUACAAACGCACGCACACUGACACAGACACACGCAAAAACGUUAUGAAAAAUACUGUAAUGGCUCCCUAGUCAAAUAGACAAUAAAUUGCUCUACACAAAAACAUGCGUUCAGAAACCUCGAAAACUACUAGUAUGGCCUCGAAGUUUGUAUAUAGAAAAAAAAAAUGAUUUAAACAGACUCCUGUCCAUAGUUUAUUAUCUGUUGGAUAAUGUGUAUUGUUUUUGUAACUUACAGUAUUUAGAGAGGUGUACGGAGUAACGUCACUUCAUCAUCGGACAAUAAGAAUUCUCGUUGAAGAGUUUAAUAAGAAUAAGCCUAGAAUAAGAAUUGUGUUUUAUGACGGACCAUUUUGGUAAGAAAUUCAAUAGGAUUGUACCUAAGAUGCCAUACAACAGUUUCUUCUGAUGCACUUCAGACCUCGACCGGACUUUCUCACCAUGACGCAAUCGUACGGCUUCGGCAUCACGGCGCAAAUAGACGUACAAAAAAGAAGCCGAAACCUUGUAUUUGCUUGGAGACCAACCAAUCACAGAGCAGCAUUUCUCAACUGUCAGGUAACUUUAUUUUGCCAGCCUCUUUUCAAUCAUCAUCGUGAAAAGUGGAUGCAGGACAGGUCCACGCUGAUGAGCUGCACGAGACCAUGAGUCAAUGAGCACAUGACCAAGAUUAAAGGCUUUGCCCGACCAAAUAGAAACUAGGAAGUGAAACAAACGCCCCCACAACAGUAAAUGCUGUGAAACCUGUCACGUGGGAGCAAGGGGAGCAGAAAGUCGACACGCGGAAGGUCAAAAGCAAUCUGGUACCAACUUUUAUUAUGUACGCCCUUCUCUUUAGAUUCAUUUUACAUCCAUGUUUUAUGUUGUAAAGUUGGCACACCGAUUAUUCCCUGUUAACGUAUAACGCACUUGCAGGCUGUUCCAGAGCCUGAGUCUUUGGUGAGUCCGCCAGAGGUUGGACAGGGUCCAAGGUUACGGUCUUUAUUUAGCAGGGACAGUACAGACGAAGGUCAGAUUAAGACCUUUCCCAGCCUCCCCUCUCAUUUGGCCUGUAUGUCCAUUCCCGACCCACGUACGCGAGGUCCCGCCGAGAAUGUCACAUCUCUGACGGCAUGGAAACACGCUGGAGCUGCUGAUCGUGAGUCACCGACACCAGCGUUGACAUGGAGCCAAGAGCAAGUACAUAUCUACUACAGAGGCGUUGUUUAGAACAGUUUCUCGAAUCUUAACUACAGCUUCGCGAUGGAAACUUGCAGGUGAUUGCGAUCACGAGGUUGACCGAUUGCGCAAUGAAAGAAUCCUGGCAAACCCUCAUCACCUUGCCUCCACGGGGAGCGUGUAGACUGCGCCACACACAUGCGGGGUCCUGUCCCUGGUGAGCACAGGGCGAGAUGGGCAUGACGGAGGGGAAGCAGCGGAUGAUGCGCUCAUACCACGGACAAUCGUGUUGACCCGAGCGGGGAUCCGGAUGUUGUGACAGUGGUCAAUGCCGGGUGGCUGCGGGCCUGUGUCUCAGAACAAAAUGACCGACUUUAGAAGUGAAUGAGAAUCUCAAAACAAGGGGGAAGACGAUACUUCUUGUGUUGGAAUACUCGGAGAAAUGGACCAAUUUCAAUGAAGCGUCGAGGUGUAAUAAACAUUUUUUUGCAUCUUGCUGUC